UACGGAGGGUGCAAGCGUUAUCCGGAUUCACUGGGUUUAAAGGGUGCGUAGGCGGGCAGGUAAGUCAGUGGUGAAAUCUCCGGGCUUAACCCGGAACUGCCGUUGAUACUAUCUGUCUUGAAUGUAGAGGAGGUGAGCGGAAUAUGUCAUGUAGCGGUGAAAUGCUUAGAUAUGACAUAGAACAUCUAUUGCGAAGGCAGCUCGCUACACUACGAUUGACGCUGAGGCACGAAAGCGUGGGGAUCAAACAGGGAUUAGAAA
rnacentral:rRNA from 1 species